ACUCCGGUUUUCUUAAAAACCAACCACAUUCUGGCAAAAGGUUUA
rfam:Stegodyphus mimosarum contig72945, whole genome shotgun sequence.